rnacentral:SRP_RNA from 2 species
GCUGGGCGUAGUGGCGCGCGCCUGUAAUCCCAGCUACUUGGGAGGCUGGGGCAGGAGAAUCGCUUGAACCCGGGAGGCAGAGGUUGCAGUGAGCCGAGAUCGCACCACUGCAUUCCAGCCUGGGCAACAGGGCGAGACUCUGUCUCAA